rnacentral:snRNA from 1 species
GUGUAUCAGCACAUACACUAAAACUGGAAGAUACAACAAAGAUGAACACGACCCUGUGCCAGGAUGCCACACAGAUCCAUGAGACAUUCCAUAUUUUU